UUUAAUUUCUAUUCAAAUUAAGGAUUCAGAAGUUCUGAAAAGAAUGUAAAUUUUGAGUAUAGCAUUCCGUUACUGUUGUGACUGCUAGUUAAUUAGGUAUAAAACAAUUAUCAGGAUUUUGGCCUAAAAUACUGCUAUAAUAUUUGUGUUGGAAAAAAAUGAAGACAGCACUGACAUGUAAAUACAUAUAAUUGGAUAGUUUCCUAUGUAAGUUCUAUAGGUAGAGAGAGGGCAGAGGUAGCAAUGGCUAGAUUUAUAGUUAAAAAUGGAGUUAAGGUAGUUGUCUCGUUGGAAUGACAAAUUAACAUGUUACAAGAACUUAAAUUUCUAGAGAUGUGUGAAGAUAAUAUUUCUCAGAUAGUAACAUUACACACUUGAGGUUGAGGGGUUUUUCUGGUUCAGUCAUAAUUGCACUGCAUGGUAUCUACAUUCAGCAGUUUGUUCCUACUGGGUGUUCAAAGGACAGUGCAAUAUAAAUCCAGUAUUUGGCAUCGUUGGUUUUCUUGGCUUUGUGCAUGUGAGACCUGGUAUUUCUACUGAUACAGUAUUCCGAUAGUUUCUCAUACUGUUCGGUUUGACAGUCUUCAAUAGUAACUAAUACUGUUUUUCUAGGGUGUCAAAUUCAGAACCAGGCAGAUCCACCUCCUGACCCUAAACAUGCUCAUGAGUAAAAAUUGGAUAUAACAAGGCUUUUCAGUAUUAGAAAAGAUAAAGGGAUAAAUAGCAACGUACUUGCUAUAUUUAAUUUCUAGGGUCCUAAAGUAAAUCGCUUGAGGAAAUUGGAUCCCAAAGAUUACAGGUGGAGAAUUUUGAAGUGUGUCCAUAUUUUAUUGGCGAUCGAAGAAGCCUAACUAAAAGAAUUGUGGGCUGACCCACAUGAUAACUUCUUUUUGAAAGGGCUAUUUUAUCUUGAAGAUUAUGAGUUUGGAGGAACUAAGGUGAUUGGCAGUGGAAAGAAUCAGACCGUGUGAAAUUCCUUAAAAAUUUAUUGACUUAAGUAACUUUGUGUUGCACAUAAUAAAAAAAAAAAACCUUUACACUUUGUGCGGAGAGUCAGCAUAUAUUUUUGGCUCGAAGUUUCUCUAAUGUUUUCUGUAGAGGGAAUAAUAACGUUUAUCAGUUGUAGAUAUGAUGUGCCUUAGACAUGAAAAAUUGGGGGGGGGCAGUGGCUGCUCACCUUAUGAAAUUCUUUUGCCCUUGCUCUGUUUUGGGCAUAUGCAUCUUGCUUUGCUUUCUCUUCCUUUUGCUUUUUCACUUCAGGUAACUGAUGGUAUAAUCUGUAAGAAAUUUAUAUGGAAUUAAAGACAGACGCUUAA